rnacentral:rRNA from 1 species
UACGUAGGGGGCAAGCGUUGUCCGGAAUUAUUGGGCGUAAAGAGCGUGUAGGCGGCCCGGUCAGUCCGCCGUGAAAGUCCAGGGCUCAACCCUGGAAUGCCGGUGGAUACUGCCGGGCUGGAGUCCGGAAGAGGCGAAGUGGAAUUCCUGGUGUAGCGGUGAAAUGCGCAGAUAUCAGGAGGAACACCGAUGGCGAAGGCAGCUCGCUGGGACGGUACUGACGCUGAGACGCGAAAGCGUGGGGAGCAAACAGGAUAGAA